rnacentral:rRNA from 2 species
UGGGGAAUAUUGCGCAAUGGGGGAAACCCUGACGCAGCGACGCCGCGUGCGGGAUGAAGGCCUUCGGGUUGUAAACCGCUUUUGAUUGGGAGCAAGCCUUUUGGGUGAGUGUACCUUUCGAAUAAGCGCCGGCUAACUACGUGCCAGCAGCCGCGGUAAUACGUAGGGCGCAAGCGUUAUCCGGAAUUAUUGGGCGUAAAGAGCUUGUAGGCGGUUCGUCGCGUCUGGUGUGAAAGCCCAUCGCUUAACGGUGGGUCUGCGCCGGGUACGGGCGGGCUAGAGUGCAGUAGGGGAGACUGGAAUUCCCGGUGUAACGGUGGAAUGUGUAGAUAUCGGGAAGAACACCAAUGGCGAAGGCAGGUCUCUGGGCUGUUACUGACGCUGAGAAGCGAAAGCGUGGGGAGCGAACAGG